UACGUAGGGUGCAAGCGUUAAUCGGAAUUACUGGGCGUAAAGCGUGCGCAGGCGGUUAUGUAAGACAGUUGUGAAAUCCCCGGGCCUCAACCUGGGAACUGCAUCUGUGACUGCAUAGCUAGAGUACGGUAGAGGGGGAUGGAAUUCCGCGUGUAGCAGUGAAAUGCGUAGAUAUGCGGAGGAACACCGAUGGCGAAGGCAAUCCCCUGGACCUGUACUGACGCUCAUGCACGAAAGCGUGGGGAGCAAACGAGG
rnacentral:rRNA from 1 species